CAAAAAAAAAAAAAAAAAAAGAGCAAGCAAUUCCAUGUACUAGUAAUUAUUUAUUCAAUUUGCUCUUCCCAAAGAUUUUCCUCAUAACAUCAAAUCAACCUUUCAGGUCUCAUAAUUUUAUUAACUGAAAAAAAGUAAAUAUUUUAUAUAAUCUCAAAGAUCAUCUUUGGUCCUAAAAUUUUAUCUUUAUAGCUUUUCCUUUAAAGUCUGCCAUCCCAGAACUAGAAAGAACUAACGUGGUUUCUGUUUCUGUCUCCAACCUAAAUUUGCCACAAAUAUUCCUGCCUCUAAGAGUUAGCUAGCAGGAAUAUCAUCAACACUAAGUUUAAUUAUGUUUAACUUUAGAUAAUAGAGCAAAAUCUUUGCCAAGAGACACCUGGCUGAAUUCAUGCAUAGAAGUACCAUCAUCAUCAAUUGUUGAGUCUGGAGAUAUGGCAUUCUUGAUAAAGAAUUGCCUUUGAGCUGUCUAAACUUGAGCAACCAGUAUUGGGACUUUUUUCUUCCAUUCAUUCAUUUUGAUCUGAUAUCUUUAUGAGGGACUCCACCCAGCAGGUGUUCAGAGGUUUAAAAUGCCAUUAUUUUCACCUGUCUGGGGUAUGAAACAUGUCCUUUUGACAUAAAGUUCUUCCAGGCUGUCUAAACAUUGUAGGCAGCCACUGAGAAUCACAGAUAAGGUCCUGGGGGAAUACUGACAGUGGGAGUAGAAAUUUUUUUCUUUAUGUCAUUUUUUAAGCACCCCUAAUGCAUUACAAAUCAUCUCUGGUCUAUUUACUUACUGGCUCCAACUUUUACGCUGCUUCUUCUGGGGGUAUUUUUUUUCAAUAGUGGCAUUUGCCAGCUUUUCACAUUUCUUUGACAUCUUUGGAACAAUCAUUAUACAAGUCUUGGUAGUCCUGAUAUGUGGCUUUCUGUGGCUUUCCUCAGUGAUAAUUUCUAUGUGCGUAUAAUGAGCAUUUAUAGAAUGCCCAAAACAGUUUACAUUUCCACGAUCUAGAUGCAGAAGUAGUUGGGGAAAUUUUGUAGCCACAAAUCUGCUCCUUGUUUGGAAAACUUCCCUAAGAUAGCCUACAAUCAAAUCACCCAUCUCCUUGGAGACACAGGAAUUUGUACUUAUGAUCCAUGGGAAAUCUCAGGGAGAAGAGGAAACUUUCCACUUAUUCAUCAUCAUUCAUUCUGACUGCUAAAGAGAUCCAGGCUCCUAACAGCUAAUAAAUGAAAUGGAGAGGCUUUAGAACACAGUAAAUAAAUGUACAGGACACUGAGGGAGGUAUUUCUGAUUCCUGGCAACUGCAAACAGUGAAUAAACAACCAAAGCAGGCCCUCUCAGUUAACAGCUUGGGCAAUAUCUGGUGUGGUCAUUUAAGAGCACUGCACUAUGUCUCUGCCCCAAACAUUUCGUCCUCUUUUGCUUUGCUGACAAACAAAUUUCUGCUUAAUCAAGGUUCUGGGUUUAGAGUAAAGGCUUUUAUGAAAUAAAAAUAUUAUAUAACCCUGUA